GAGCUGGAGGAGAUGCAGCGAAGGGCAGACCAGUUGGCUGAUGAGUCGCUGGAAAGCACCCGUCGUAUGCUGCAACUGGUUGAAGAGGUAAGAAGUGACAGUAUUUUAAGAUAAAGAAACAAAUCCCUUAUGCUGAUAUAUCCUUUCCUAGUUGCUAUUAUGUUUCCUUAGGCCAUGAUCCCCUAGAUUCCAGUGUGGAUGUAGCCUAUCAGAAAGGCUCAGAAUGAGGGAGAUGCUGUAAUUAAGUUGCCAGAUAGCCAUGAAGACACCUUCACCCUCCUUCCCAGCCCAAGCCACCUCUGUAGUCUGGUCUGGGAAGCAGAGAAUAACAGAAUUUCCAAGUCAGUGCUCACAAGAAAUCAUAGAAGAUUGUAUCACUUUAAGCAAAUCAGAGCAAUUUUUAAUAUACAAAGGAAUUAUCUACAUAAAA
rnacentral:sRNA from 1 species